AUUGAACGCUGGCGGCAUGCCUAACACAUGCAAGUCGAACGGUAACACGGCAAGGGUUGCCGACUAGUGGUGGCGGGGGGCGGAAGGGUAAGGAAUGUAUCCCGAGCUACUGGUUAGUGGAGCAAAACGUGUGCUAAUACAUCAUGUUACCUGAUACGAAAAACGGGGGAAAGCAGGGGAUCGUGUGGCCUUUCGCGUUUGUAUGAGCCGAUGUCGGAUUAGCUAGUUGGUGAGGUAAAGGCCCACCAAGGCGACGAUCCGUAGCUGGUCUGAGAGGAUGAUCGGCCACACUGGAACUGAGACACGGUCCAGACUCCUACGGGAGGCAGCAGUGGGGAAUUUUGGACAAAGGGCGCAAGCCUGAUCCAGCAAUGCCGCGUGCGUGAAGAAGGCCUUCGGGUUGUAAACCUCUUUUGUUAGGAAAGAACAGGUGUCCGCUAAUACCGGGCCGUCUUGACGGUACCUAAAGAAUAAGCACCGGCUAACUACGUG
rnacentral:rRNA from 1 species